GGAGGAAUGGCAGAGUGGUCGAUUGCGGCAGUCUUGAAAACUGUUGACUGUAACAGGUCCCGGGGUUCGAAUCCCUGUUCCUCCG
rfam:Chryseobacterium koreense CCTG 49689 contig03, whole genome shotgun sequence.